rnacentral:tRNA from 1 species
GCCGGGGUGGCGGAAUCAUAGGCAGACGCACCUCGUUCAGACCGAGACGCCCGCAAGGGCAUGGGAGUUCGAAUCUCCCCUCCGGCACCA